GACGAACGCUGGCGGCGUGCCUAACACAUGCAAGUCGAACGGGACUUAGUGGAAAGCGGCUUCGGCCAAUGGAAGCUAAGUUUAGUGGCGAACGGGUGAGUAACGCGUGAGAAACCUGCCUUUCAGUGGGGGACAACAGUUGGAAACGACUGCUAAUACCGCAUAAUGUACACGGACCGCAUGAUCUGUGUACCAAAGCUUUAUGUGCUGAAAGAUGGUCUCGCGUCUGAUUAGCUAGAUGGCGGGUAACGGCCCACCAUGGCGACGAUCAGUAGCCGGUCUGAGAGGAUGAACGGCCACAUUGGGACUGAGAUACGGCCCAGACUCCUACGGGAGGCAGCAGUGGGGAAUAUUGGGCAAUGGGCGAAAGCCUGACCCAGCAACGCCGCGUGAAGGAAGAGG
rnacentral:rRNA from 1 species